UUAGAGUUUGAUCCUGGCUCAGGAUGAACGCUAGCGACAGGCCUAACACAUGCAAGUCGAGGGGUAACAUGAGAGCUUGCUCUUGAUGACGACCGGCGCACGGGUGAGUAACGCGUAUGCAACCUUCCUUUAACAGGAGAAUAGCCCCCGGAAACGGGGAUUAAUGCUCCAUGGCACUCUAUAUACGCCUGUAUAAAGAGUUAAAGUUACGACGGUUAAAGAUGGGCAUGCGUGACAUUAGUUAGUUGGCGGGGUAACGGCCCACCAAGGCAACGAUGUCUAGGGGUUCUGAGAGGAAGGUCCCCCACACUGGUACUGAGACACGGACCAGACUCCUACGGGAGGCAGCAGUGAGGAAUAUUGGUCAAUGGACGGAAGUCUGAACCAGCCAUGUCGCGUGCAGGAUGACUGCCCUAUGGGUUGUAAACUGCUUUUGUACGGGAAGAAAAUUAGUUACGUGUAACUAUCUGCCGGUACCGUACGAAUAA
rnacentral:rRNA from 1 species